GACGAACGCUGGCGGUGUGCUUCACACAUGCAAGUCGAACGAGGUAGCAAUACCUAGUGGCGGACGGGUGAGUAACGCGUGGGAAUCUGCCUUUGGAUGGGGGAUAACGGGUCGAAAGACUCGCUAAUACCGCAUAUGACGAAAGUUGAAAGGAGUAAUCCGUCUAAAGAUGAGCCCGCGUCCGAUUAGCUAGUUGGUAGAGUAAAAGCCUACCAAGGCGACGAUCGGUAGCUGGUCUGAGAGGAUGAUCAGCCACAAUGGGACUGAGACACGGCCCAUACUCCUACGGGAGGCAGCAGUGGGGAAUUUUACGCAAUGGGCGAAAGCCUGACGUAGCGACACCGCGUGAGCGAAGAAGCCCCUUGGGGUGUAAAGCUCUGUCAGCUGGAACGAAAAAAAUGACGGUACCAGCAGAGGAAGCAUCGGCUAACUACGUG
rnacentral:rRNA from 1 species